UUUGGACUUGUCAGUGCUUUUGUUGUUGUACCAUCUGGAAGCAUCCAGCAUAUAGCCCAGAGAGGGUCAGCUUUUCAGCCUUUAAUGUAAAGACUUUCCAUAGAUUUGGGCUAAUCGUAAGAAGCAUAAGUCUCUUGACACAGAAUAGGAAGAGUACAGAAAAAACCCAGUAAUUUCUCUAUUUUUCUACAGUUUGGGUCCUUGCCUCUCAUCUUCCAACCAAUGUGUUGCUGCAAAGAACCUGGAUUAGUCUUCUUGAUUACUACCCCAUAGAAGACAUUGGAAGGAAAUUUCUAACUAUCAAAGAAGUAAGAUUUUGAAACAACUUUUUGAGGGGACAAGGAAAAAAUUAGUCACCUUUAAAAAAGAUUCAUAGUCAGCCUAAAUUAAGGAGUAUUAAUCUUACAAUAAAAGAAGA